rnacentral:rRNA from 1 species
UGAAACCGUGUACGUACAAGCAGUGGGAGCACCCUUCGGGGUGUGACUGCGUACCUUUUGUAUAAUGGGUCAGCGACUUAUAUUCUGUAGCAAGGUUAACCGAAUAGGGGAGCCGGAGGGAAACCGAGUCUUAAUUGGGCGUUAAGUUGCAGGGUAUAGACCCGAAACCCGGUGAUCUAGCCAUGGGCAGGUUGAAGGUUGGGUAACACUAACUGGAGGACCGAACCGACUAAUGUUGAAAAAUUAGCGGAUGACCUGUGGCUGGGGGUGAAAGGCCAAUCAAACCGGGAGAUAGCUGGUUCUCCCCGAAAGCUAUUUAGGUAGCGCCUCGUGAAUUCAUCUCCGGGGGUAGAGCACUGUUUCGGCUAGGGGGCCAUCCCGGCUUACCAACCCGAUGCAAACUGCGAAUACCGGAGAAUGUUAUCACGGGAGACACACGGCGGGUGCUAACGUCCGUCGUGAAGAGGGAAACAACCCAGACCGCCAGCUAAGGUCCCAAAGUCAUGGUUAAGUGGGAAACGAUGUGGGAAGGCCCAGACAGCCAGGAUGUUGGCUUAGAAGCAGCCAUCAUUUAAAGAAAGCGUAAUAGCUCACUGGUCGAGUCGGCCUGCGCGGAAGAUGUAACGGGGCUAAACCAUGCACCGAAGCUGCGGCAGCGACGUUUAUGCGUUGUUGGGUAGGGGAGCGUUCUGUAAGCCUGCGAAGGUGGCCUGUGAGGGUUGCUGGAGGUAUCAGAAGUGCGAAUGCUGACAUAAGUAACGAUAAAGCGGGUGAAAAGCCCGCUCGCCGGAAGACCAAGGGUUCCUGUCCA